CGCGUAGGCGGACGUUUAAGUCAGAGGUGAAAUCCCGGGGCUCAACCCCGGAACUGCCUUUGAUACUGGACGUCUUGAGACCGGAAGAGGUAAGUGGAACUGCGAGUGUAGAGGUGAAAUUCGUAGAUAUUCGCAAGAACACCAGUGGCGAAGGCGGCUUACUGGUCCGGUUCUGACGCUGAGGCGCGAAAGCGUGGGGAGCAAAACA
rnacentral:rRNA from 1 species